rnacentral:rRNA from 1 species
GAUGAACGCUAGCUACAGGCUUAACACAUGCAAGUCGCGGGGCAGCAUGGGGGUUGCUUGCAAUCCCCGAUGGCGACCGGCGCACGGGUGAGUAACGCGUAUCCAACCUGCCCUUCACCACGGGAUAACCCGGCGAAAGUCGGACUAAUACCGUAUGUUGUCCAUUGACGGCAUCCGAUUUGGACGAAAGGCUUGGCGGUGAGGGAUGGGGAUGCGUCCGAUUAGCCAGACGGCGGGGUAACGGCCCACCGUGGCUACGAUCGGUAGGGGUUCUGAGAGGAAGGUCCCCCACACUGGAACUGAGACACGGUCCAGACUCCUACGGGAGGCAGCAGUGAGGAAUAUUGGUCAAUGGGCGUAAGCCUGAACCAGCCAGGUAGCGUGCAGGAUGACGGCCCUAUGGGUUGUAAACUGCUUUUAUGCGGGGAUAAAGUGGCCCACGUGUGGGCUUUUGCAGGUACCGCAUGAAUAAGGACCGGCUAAUUCCGUG